ACUCGACUAGACGAGUAUAAACAGGCAUUAGGUCUAGUGCGCCUCUACACGCCAUUUUGCUGUAGAGGGUUGUU
rnacentral:ribozyme from 1 species